UUUUGUCUUAUUCCUUGGAUUCCAUGGGAAAAACAAAAGGAUUCCUGUGCAUUCCUGUGAGGACUGAAGAAAUCCUUUCCUACUGAAUGGAAGCUGUUGGGAAUACCUACAGCAAGAAAUGAAGCUUUCAUGUCUGUCAAAAAGUCCCUUGCAGGUGUAGAGCUGAAAGAACUCCUGCAAAAGCAGUGUUUGCUCAGGUCUGUUUGAGGAGAUAAAAGAGAAGCACCUACUCCGAACAGCAAUGUCUGCUGGUUGGCCCCAGCGUCCACCCAUUGUUUGCUCUCCAACCCCAGGCAAGCAGCACUUUUUUUCCUUUGGCAGAUAUCCCAUUAUUUUCUCCCCGGGGGCUGGAUUGAGGAUGGUAAGUUCUAUUCUAAUUGAAGCCAAGUCAGUGAUA